rnacentral:rRNA from 1 species
GUCUACGGCCAUACCACCCUGAAUGCACCCGAUCUCAUCUGAUCUCGGAAGCUAAGCAGGGUCGGGCCUGGUUAGUACUUGGAUGGANN